rnacentral:lncRNA from 1 species
GGGACUUUGAACAAGCUUUUUAAUUUCUGUCCUUUUUUGUUCCUCAGCUGUAAARUGAGAAUUCUAACAGUGCUCCUGUGCCUUGUCCUGUCUGCUUGACGUUGUGAGCAUCUUGAUCAAGCGUCCAUGUGGAGCUUAGAGCAACAGAGCAGUCGGCUCUGUAGAAUUGCUGCAAUAUGGGUAUUGUAGAUUCUCCUGGGGACCUGUGCAGCAGCAAAGGAAUAACUGCGCUGAUGGCUAGGGAGAGCAGAAAGGCCUAUUUCUCCCAUGAUGGGACCAACCCUUUCUCACCAUCUUGCCUACUUGUACUGCACUGCUGGGAGGACACCAGUGAUAUGAGGUGCAGUGGCUCGCAUCCUUUGUGCAGCUUCUGUCAGUGACAGCAUUGGCCCUGCUGUGAGAUGGCC